GGCACAGUGGACCAAUCGUAAGGCGCUCGUCGCAGAGCCAGAGGGUCCUGGGUUCGAUCCCCAGCAGGGUCG
rnacentral:tRNA from 1 species